rnacentral:ncRNA from 1 species
AGUUAAGCGUUGAAUGAUCGAAGUAAUCUUCACUUCCCUGUUCAAGAGAGCUAAUGGUAGGUGCGAAUUAGUACAUAAGUGACGGAUGAAUUACAGUCAGGAGCUUUCUUUGUGAUAAGCGAAGAACGGUAUCUACCGUUAUGUAAUGAAGUGGGAGAGAAAAAGAUUCAUCUAUUCUCUUCAACAAGGGUGGUAACGCGAAGACCUCGUCCCUUUU